UAAUAUUAAACAUACCAAAAAAUAAAUAAAUAAAAAUAAAAUUAUUGUAGAAGUAUUUUGAAGCCUAAGAUGAUAGUAUUUUCUUUUAGAGAGGAUUUUAAUGGUUCUCCCAGAUGCAUAGUGAGCACUAGCCAUUUGGAACCAGUUUAAUCCAAGCUCAAGGCUUGAGGUUUUCUGGGUCAUCAGAUGAGGUAAAGCUGGACUACAAGUCCAGGCAAUGGUUAUUUUAUUUGUAGUUUACUCUGACUUACCCUAAGGGUGGAGUUAUAGCUCAGCUUAAAGUAAGAACUAUUUUUAUCUUUGUCUUUGGUGAGCAUAGACUUCCAUCUUCUGACUUUCUGAGGCUGCUAAAACUGCAGUUCUGUUUCACAGUUGUUUCUUCUGAAUCAGCAGAUACCUCAGGGUACCUAGGCUUAAUUCUUGGGCUUCUCAUGUUCUCCAAGUGUUCAUCUGACAUUCUCUCCUGGGCUUCUUGACUUUUUGGUGUUUUAAGAUUUUAAAAUAAUAUUCUGUUCAGUUUUUUAAAGUAUAAUUGUAUUGCAUUAAAAUGUUAUACUUGUACUACAUAAAAGUGUAACUUUGGACAUUCUGGUUUUAAAUCCUACAUAUUACAUGUCAUUUGAGAGAAAUGCAUCUUUCUGGAUUUUAACUUUGUUCCAUCUUUUAGGUCAAUGAUUAAAACAUGCUUUGCUUCUACUGCCUUGCAGGGAGACUGAAUGUGGCACUUUGCCAUAUCUGUGGUCCUGAUAAAAUUAUAUGGAUACAAUCUUCUACUAACAGAAGUGUUUGGCUUAGUGGUAGCUGGAUCUGUAUUAAUAUUCAGGGUAUUAAUUGGUGAUUGGAUCAACAGGAAACCAAGAAAAAAAGGAGGUUUGGCAAGGCAUUCUCUGAAAGCACAGCACUGAAAAGGCUAACUUAUUUAAAAUCUGGACUGUUGGUCCUUAGGCCAUAUUGAUAACUUCAGUCACAAAUUAAAGAAGAGUGUGAUAUAUCAGUAGAAAAAUUUGGUCAUGUCUUGCUCUUCAUUCAGAAUGCCUCUAUCACCACCUGCUGUGCGGUCCUGAUGCUUGUGUUCUCAUACAGAAGGGAGCUGGAGCAAGUAUGGCAAGGCUGGUUCACUGUCUUUGGUCCUUUGACCUCACUGUGACCCAGCUUCCUCAGGAGAACAUUCUGGAACAGAGCGAGGGGCUGUGAACGGUGUGCAGUGUUCCCUGAACUACCUCAUGGACCUCAUCCACUUCGUCCUGGUCGUGCUGGCCCCGCAGCGUGUUCGGCAUGCUGGUCUUCACCUCCAUCCUGUUUGUAACCACGGGCCAAGUGCUGUAUUUUUUUAAUGCAAGGAAGUGUAAGAUUACAAAUGCCCAUGCUCAGAAGACAGCGGAGAAGAGCACGUCAACCUGAGAGGCUCGGGACGCGCAGGCUCAGCGGCCAUGGCUCACGGGCCCAGCUGCUCCGCGGCAUGUGGGACCCUCCCGGACCGGGGCACGAACCCGCUUCCCCCGCAUCGGCAGGCGGACUCCCAACCACUGCGCCAGCAGGGAAGCCCAACGCCAGACCUUUUGAAGAGCCCAACCGCCGGGCGAAGUGGCAACUGGAAGGCACUUGUGGCGGGGGAGGUCUGUGUGGGCGAAAUUCCCUCCGUUUCUUGCCAACAUCGGAAUUAACACUGCUCCGCUCUGCAGCUUAAAAGUGUUUCAGGCCCGUGAUCUUAACCCGCUUUCCUAAACUGGCCGUUCCGGGGUCGUCAGAGCCACCGGGCUGGCGGGGGCCCCGCGUGCGCCUAGAACACGGACACCGUCCCGGGCUAGCGCGCCUCCGUCCUGGGUGAUGUCCAACGGCUCAUCUUUCUCAAAGAAGAGCAAGUCCAUCAGAAGGCUGUAAGCUGCGAAGAUUCGUGUUCUUUUUCUACCCUCGCUGCCCAGGAUCAGUAUAAGAUCUUACCUUUUCUUCUGACUUCUAUGCUGGAUGAGGCCCACGUCCCUGUCUGGGGUCUCUCCUUAUCUCCAGAGCCAGCCUCUGACUCACCUGCUCUCUCCAGCACCUCACUUUUGCGCUCCUACAGCCUCCUUUCUUUUGACUUAGUUCCACCUCAUUUUUGAAUUCACCCUGACUAAAGUUUCCAUCCUGGUUGAAAAGGGUUGUUGGAAGAGAGAAUCUGCCUUGGGCACUGGGCCUCCCCAUCUGUUCUUUCUGAGCAUGCCAAGAAUGCAAGGCCCCGAUGGCUCUUUGUCCAGGCCAUUAUUCAGGGUUAUGUGUGCAGCAGGCGACCUUCAGGGAAGAGGCCGUGCCUUCUCCCAGACACAGGCUUGCUACUGCUCACUACAAAAACAAUGAGUCCCUCCAGGUCCGUGUUCCUCUCCCACGACAAUCCUCUGCAUGUGCAGGCAUCCUGGAUGGGUCCUUUGUGUCAUCACUGUGGGAUUCGGGGGACAUGGGGAACCACUGCAAACCAGCACAAACUCUGGCUACUUCUUUUGCCACAUGUAAUAAAAUCCUCAGUCUCUGGCCAAGAGGCUCAUGCCUUUUACCAGUGUCCACGAAAGAGUAACUUGCAAGCUUGGAAAUGGGGUAAAACUUUAGACCCUGCACAGUUUGUACACGGGCCUCUCACUGUUUGUGGCCUCUCCCGUUGGGGAGCACAGGCUCCGGACACGCAGGCUCAGCAGCCAUGGCUCACGGUCUCGGCUGCUCCGCAGCAUGUGGGAUCUUCCCGGACCGGGGCACAAACCCACGUCCCCUGCAUCGGCAGGCGGGCUCUCAACCACUGCGCCACCAGGGAAGCCCCCUGUACAGUUUUUAACAAGUGUUACCUCUAAGCCUCUAACUCCAACCUACCAUUUGAUGUCGCCAGGUAACCAUGCUUCUUCCUAUGUCCUGAAUGGUGCUGAGCACUCUUUUUUUCUAUUAUAUCCUUUCCCACCCCCCAGCUACCACCAUUGUUGGCCUGCUUCAGUUCUCUUCUAGGGUUAAGCUGAGUAUUCUCCAAUUAUUUCCUGUCCUGGCAUCCUACCCCUUAAACUCAACUUUGAACAUUCUCUAGGGAACCCAGUGUGAGCUGUUGCUCAGAUUUCAUCUGAUCUGUUUACUUGCCUGCCUGCAUGUCCAGGCCCUGGUGUGGCUUAGUCUGCCUAACUGGACCCUUCCAUGCUUGCCCAAAGGUCCCUAAGUCAUCCCUAAUGCCUUGACCUGGAACCAGCAGUCACGGCAAGUAGUCCUGCCUUUCAGUUGGCUAAUAAUAAGAGCUGACAUUUAUAGAGCACCUACUACGUACCACCUAAGACUCACCCAAGAGUCCGUAGCUAGUGAGAGCUGCAAAGCUAAGGUUUGCCCCUGUAGUCUGAUUCCAUGUGCUAUAGUGCCUCCUGCUGGGAGGAACUUUCAUUCAUAUGUCUUGCCCUCAUUUCUAACUCUUGACCUAUCUUUAUUAGAAAGGAAACCAUUUUGGGACUUCCCCGGUGGCACAGUGGCUUAGACUCUGUGUUCCCAGUGCUGAGGCUCUGGGUUCAAUCCCUGGUCAGGGAACUAGACCCCGUGUGCAUGCUGCAACAAAGACCCCACGUGCAUGCUGCAACAAAGAUCCUGUGUGCUGCAGCUAAGACCUGGUGCAGCAAAAUAAAGAAAGAAAAGAAAUCGUUUUAAAAUGCUAUUUGGUCAGUUACCUGAACAACCUGUCAACCUCCAUAAUCACUUUUUGAAAUCAAUAUUUUUGAAUAGCAGUGUUUCUCAGGGAAGAAUCUGACAAUGAAAUGAGAAUUUAAUUUAUCAAUAGGUCAAUGAGGAAAGGUCUGCAAAUCAAACCCAUUAUAUCUUGGCUUUAAUCCAGUUUUUGUAUAUUUUUAUGAAACAAUGGACAGGAUGGUGUAUAUAUGAAGUCCACGGGCCUUGAAUUUUAAGAGCCUGGAUCUGUUAAGUCUUAGCUAGAUGGCCUUCACCUCUGGGGACCUUGGGUUUUCCAUUUGUAGAAUGAAAACCAGAAGAUCUUUAGGUUUAUGUUCAGAUAUGAUUCUGUGUCUAACAAAGCAUGUUAACUCUCCCACAAUAGCAGAGCCCUUGUGCCAGGACUGUUAUAUUCCUCUUUUCCCUCUUUCCUUUCUUUUGUUUUUCCCUCCCUUCCCUUCCUUCCCCUUCCUUUUCUAUUUGUGUUAAUAUCACCAAAUACCAUCACCCAAACUUGAAAUCUCAUAGCUGAUUUGAAUUGCUGCCUUUCCAGUCAAUGUUUCGUUCGACAGGCCAUUCACAUCUUUACUUUCAUUUCUAUUCCCAGUGCCAUGUUCAAUUUUAUGUAUUUAUCACCUCAUAUUUCCACAUCUACUUUUUCUGGUUUGUUUUCUCU